ACUCCUACGGGAGGCAGCAGUGGGGAAUAUUGCACAAUGGGCGCAAGCCUGAUGCAGCCAUGCCGCGUGUGUGAAGAAGGCCUUCGGGUUGUAAAGCACUUUCAGUCGUGAGGAAGGUGGUAGUGUUAAUAGCACUAUCAUUUGACGUUAGCGACAGAAGAAGCACCGGCUAACUCCGUGCCAGCAGCCGCGGUAAUACGGAGGGUGCGAGCGUUAAUCGGAAUUACUGGGCGUAAAGCGCAUGCAGGUGGUUUGUUAAGUCAGAUGUGAAAGCCCGGGGCUCAACCUCGGAAUAGCAUUUGAAACUGGCAAGCUAGAGUACUGUAGAGGGGGGUAGAAUUUCAGGUGUAGCGGUGAAAUGCGUAGAGAUCUGAAGGAAUACCGGUGGCGAAGGCGGCCCCCCUGGACAGAUACCUGACACUCAGAUGCGAAAGCGUGGGGAGCAAACAGGAUUAGACACCCUGGUAGGCGUAG
rnacentral:rRNA from 1 species